GUUGGUAUCGAUUAGGGGUUAAAUCACCUCGUUGUGGUAGUCGUUCCGAGGAGCCGCUGGUUCGAUUCCAGCUACCGACA
rnacentral:tRNA from 1 species